UACUGAGGGUGCGAGCGUUGUCCGGAAUCAUUGGGCGUAAAGGGCGCGUAGGUGGCUUGUCAAGUGUGUGGUGAAAGCCCGGAGCUCAACUCCGGGUCUGCCAUGCGAACUGGCAGGCUAGAGCACGGUAGAGGCCAAUGGAAUUCCGGGUGUAGCGGAGGAAUGCGUAGAGAUCCGGAAGAACACCGGUGGCGAAGGCGGUUGGCUGGGCCGUUGCUGACACUGAUGCGCGACAGCGUGGGGAGCAAACAGG
rnacentral:rRNA from 1 species